AGCAGCGUGGCUAAGUGGAAAGAGCCUGGGCUUUGGAGUCAGAGGUCAUGGGUUCAAAUUCCUACUCUGCCA
rnacentral:tRNA from 1 species